rnacentral:rRNA from 1 species
GACGAACGCUGGCGGCGUGCUUAACACAUGCAAGUCGAACGGCAACGCACUGCUAUCGUGGGGUGCUCGAUUGGCGAUCGGGUGAGUAACACGUGAGUAUCCUGCCCUACUCUUUGGGAUAACUUCAGGAAACUGGAGCUAAUAUCGGAUCGGAGCCGCUGCUGCAUUGUGGGGGUUGGAACGUCUCGGCGGGCGGGGAUGGACUCGCGGGUUAUCAGCUAGCUGGUGGGGUAGUGGCUUACCCAGCAUUUGACGGAUCGCCGGCCUGGGAGGGUGACCGGCCACAUGGGGACUAAGAGACGGCGCAGACUCCUAUGGGAGGCAGAAGUGGGGAGUAUGGCACAGUGGGCGGAAGCCGGAUGCAGCAACGCCGCGGGCGUGAUGACGUCCUUCGGGGUGUGAACCGCUUUCGCCUGUGACGAAGCGGGAGUGACGGUAAUGAGUAAAGAAGCACCGGCUAACUACGUG